CUGCCAGUUUACCUCUGGACAGUUUACCACCGCCGGUUUACCUCUGGACGGUUUACCUCCAGAGCAGUUUCGUGUUGUUUUUAAUUUUCUUUCAUUCUUUAUGAAAUGAAUUAUGACACUUCCACAGUGCAAUUUUUCAAAGCAAAAUAUGAUAUUUAAACAAAACGACAAACUAACCAUAAAAACAUUCAUGAGUUAGAGUAUUUAAAAAUAAAUAAACUCACGGCCGAAUGACACUAUAAAAUAAAACACGAAAAGGCAGAAAUAUCGGCCUUUGCAUUAAUU